rnacentral:rRNA from 1 species
AUUGAACGCUGGCGGCAUGCCUUACACAUGCAAGUCGAACGGUAACGCGGGGCAACCUGGCGACGAGUGGCGAACGGGUGAGUAAUAUAUCGGAACGUGCCCAGUAGUGGGGGAUAGCCCGGCGAAAACCGGAUUAAUACCGCAUACGACCUAAGGGUGAAAGGGGGGGAUCGCAAGACCUCUCGCUAUUGGAGCGGCGAUAUCAGAUUAGCUAGUUGGUGGGGUAAAAGCCUACCAAGGCGACGAUCUGUAGCUGGUCUGAGAGGACGACCAGCCACACUGGGACUGAGACACGGCCCAGACUCCUACGGGAGGCAGCAGUGGGGAAUUUUGGACAAUGGACGAAAGUCUGUUCCAGCCAUGCCGCGUGCGGGAAGAAGGCCUUCGGGUUGUAAACCGCUUUUGUCAGGGAAGAAAUCCCUUGGGAUAAUACCUCGGGGGGAUGACGGUACCUGAAGAAUAAGCACCGGCUAACUACGUGCCAGCCGCCGCAGUAA